rnacentral:lncRNA from 1 species
UAGAGGCACGUUUUUAUACUCGGAAAAAAAGACCCCAUGACCAAAUGUCUAGGGUCAAAGCGAGAUCCGUGUAAGGUAUCUACUGGUCGUCCUCUUGAUUAUUCAGCUGCGACUGUUGGUUCCUUUUUCACGCUACUUUUUGUCAUACGUUCAGAUCAGUGCACAACACAAUGGGACAUCUCUUUUAGAAAUAUUACAGUUAGGAAAGAGAAGAUUUCUCUCCGUCCAAGCAAAAGAGAAAACGAAAGCCGAGAAAAUAAC